rnacentral:rRNA from 2 species
GUAGGUGAACCUGCGGAAGGAUCAUUAGUGAAUAUAGGAUGUCCAACUUAACUUGGAGUCCGAACUCUCACUUUCUAACCCUGUGCAUUUGUUUGGGAUAGUAGCCUCUCGGGGUGAACUCCUAUUCACUUAUAAACACAAAGUCUAUGAAUGUAUUUAAUUUAUAACAAAAUAAAACUUUCAACAACGGAUCUCUUGGCUCUCGCAUCGAUGAAGAACGCAGCGAAAUGCGAUAAGUAAUGUGAAUUGCAGAAUUCAGUGAAUCAUCGAAUCUUUGAACGCACCUUGCGCUCCAUGGUAUUCCGUGGAGCAUGCCUGUUUGAGUGUCAUGAAUACUUCAACCCUCCUCUUUUCUAGUGAAAGAGAAGGUGCUUGGUUUCUGAGCGUUUUGCUGGCCUCACGGUCGAGCUCGCUCGUAAUGCAUUAGCAUCCGCAAUCGAACUUCGGAUUGACUUGGCGUAAUAGACUAUUCGCUGAGGAAUUCUAAUCUUCGGAUUAGAGCCGGGUUAGGUUAAAGGAAGCUUCUAAUCCUAAUGUCUAUAUUUUAAGAUUAGAUCUCAAAUCAGGUAGGACUACCCGCUGAACUUAAGCAUAUCAAUAGCCCGGAGGA